rnacentral:lncRNA from 1 species
CGGACGUAUAUAAGGACCAACUGCUGGAGGAACAGCAGUACAGCUCCCACCUUGUCCUGCAGCAGAGAUACCAAGUUAGACCUGGCAAGAUGAAGACUAUGUUGGUGCUUGUAGCGGGUCUCUGCUUCCUGCUGGUGGCGACGGAGGCUGCUCCUGCGGAGAGCCCUGUGGAGCUGUUCUCGUCCUUGUCGGAGUCCCGGGUGGAGAGGGCGGCCCACCACCCGGGUGGAGGGUGCUGUGCCUGCCCGGAGAUCGGGAAGACCACCAUCAUCGUCAUCGAGACCACCAGAUACCCGACUGCUGGUUUUGCCCCCAGACACGGCGGCCGUGGCCAGUGCUGCCCGUGCUUUGGUUAGCGUCCCUGAGAGGCAGCGAUCUCCCAUCACCUUACGACAACAGCCAACAGUGAUCCCGACCUCACAGCAUCUUUGUCUUAUCUCCCGUGACUGCCGGAGGAUGCUGACUAUCACUUACAUUAGAUAUAUUGUUUAGGUACCAAUCAUCAGAGUUGGUUUGAUCAGUGAAACUUAUAUUUUCAUCAGUAAUAAAUUUCGAUGCAAU